rnacentral:lncRNA from 1 species
GCAUGUUGGAGCCUCCCUCACCCACGGACCCAUCCAGAUAGUGUUCUGUGACAUCACAGCACCUCUGCCCACCCAGGGCUUUGAUUGGCUGUUGACUUGCUGACAAAAGAAAGCCCAAGGGUGUGGCCACUUCAGGGACAGGUAUAGAAGGGAGGCUUCAGGCCCACACGGGGCAGACCGCUGUGAGGAGCUCCCAGGAGAAGCAGGGCCAGGUAGCCAGCAGGGCAGAGCACAGGACCUAGGACCAGGCUGAGAAAGAAGAGAAGAGCAAUUUCAGUGCCUAAACUGUAGGGAAAGACAGUCUCUUCUGUGGCCUCAAUGUGUGCCUCAAGGUGCAGAGGAAGUCAAGCAGGGCCAGGAGACCCGGUCCCCACACAGGGAAUAUGCUGUCUCCCCAAGCAGGGCGGCCUGCUCCUGGAGACCAAAGAGGAAUAAACCCCAGCAGGGUUUAGCGGUCCUCAGCCCCCACAGUGGAAGCAGCCCAAGCAGGAUGCACCAGGGCAGCAGCAGCUCCCUGGGUGCCCAGACAAGUCUAUACCCACGCGUGCUGCUCCAGCAAAGCCACACGAGGGGAGGCCAAAAGAGAAGCCCUGCCAAGGUGGACCUCCACAGGUCUAUCUGAUUCCGUGGAGCCCCAGCCCCGCGCAAGGCGAUGCGAGAGGGCCAGCACAAGAGAGGUGGCCAGAAACCUCACUGCCAUCUGAGAGAUGGCCAGAAGUCUGCCUGCCUCUGCCUCCACUGAGGUAGACCUGAAAGUGUCCACCCACGCUUCCCCGUGACGGGGCAAUAAACUAACUCUUGGCGACCUGAGAAUGUGUCUGUGUGCGCUCUGGUGGAAGGGAGGGAGCAAGGGAGGGAAGGGGGGGGGAGAAGGGAGGAAGGUGGCAUCCUGUUCCCACAGAUUGAAAUUGGAUGGGGGAAG